rnacentral:rRNA from 1 species
UACGUAGGGUGCGAGCGUUAAUCGGAAUUACUGGGCGUAAAGCGUGCGCAGGCGGUGAUGUAAGACCGAUGUGAAAUCCCCGGGCUUAACCUGGGAACUGCAUUGGUGACUGCAUUGCUGGAGUAUGGCAGAGGGGGGUGGAAUUCCACGUGUAGCAGUGAAAUGCGUAGAGAUGUGGAGGAACACCGAUGGCGGAAGGCAGCCCCUCGGCGCAAUACUGACGCUCAUGCACGAAAGCGUGGGGAGCGAAACAAGGAUUGAG